CAAUUUGUCAAUGAAUAUAAAUUUCUGUACCAUAUUCAAAAUGAAACGAAUGAAUCACCCAAAGAAUAAGUUACUAGAUGUAAGAACACAAAAUAUGAAAUCAAUUGAUAUUCAGAAAAUGCAUACUGAAUUGUCAAGUCCUGCUUUGUUACUAAAAGAGCAUUAGUACAGGAAAAGAACUCAACCCUUGCUUUGAUAACAAACAGAAUUAAAUCAAAUCAAAUCAAAAGGAAUCGAAGCUCUAAAUUUCUUGUGUAUUAGGAUGUGCUCCAAAUUCCCAUACUUUCUUACUUAGCUUUUACAUAAUCGAGGAGAAGUUUAUCGAGCUCAAAAUGCCGGCAAAGAAGUUUCUGGGGAAAAAAGCCACAAGUGCAUUUGUCAAACAGCAUAAUCAAAAUUAUUAAUUGCUCAUCCAUAUCUUUCAUUCACAAUAGUGCAAAUUCAAUAAAUUCACAUGCAUUAGUGUAUUACCUGAAAAUUCAAAAAUGUCAAAAGGACCAAGACAAUCAACUAAGAAUAAAGAAGUGAUAUGUAAGACCCAGAACAGGAACUUGUGAUGUCCAAUCUUACCUCUUCUAGGUUUACAAGUCCUAUGCAAUUAAUUUUAAAGAAGUGUUUAAUGCAUGCAAAAUUCUCGGCUCUGCAUAAUACAGAGAUACAAGAUGACUAUAAUUAAAACCCGUUGCAAGAAUAUUCUAUGUACUGCCACCAAAUUACUUCUUCAUCUUCUUUGGGCCCGUACGGGGUCAUUGGUUACAUACUUGAGCUCAAUCAAUAGAUGGAAGUGGUAAAUAACAUGAACAAUUAUUGCCUUUUCUCGGCUUUCAUUUACAUAAAUUUCAACAUAAAAUUGUACUAAAAUGUUGAUCAUUUGAGCCGUUGAUCACCGUCAUAUCAUCACAAUUGAUAUUCACAUAAAGGUCAAGCACUCAUCCAUUCAUUGAAUAACAUGGUAUUUUUAGAUAUGUCUUCAAAUGCGAGGUUCAAAGACAAGGUCGGCCCUGGCCUAAGGCAAGCUAGGUCAUUGCCUUGGGUCUCCGAUUUCAAGGGGCCUCUAAAAAAAAAGGCCAAAAAAUAAAUAAAAAGUGAAGUAUGAGAGAAGAAAGAAACAGACCAUCAUUUUUUCCAAUCAUCUUCAACAAAAAAUUCUCCCUAUUCCCUAGUAUGCGAUGAUUGACGAACGAUGAUUCAUAUUUUCAAUUAAAUCCUCGUUGAAAACCUGAAGCACCCCAUUAUCUUUUCAUCAAUUUCUUUUUUUCAAUCUCUUUUUGUGAUUUGAAUUUCGCUUUGCAAGGUUUUAAAAGGGGGACUGUCUGAUUGAACGUGAAGAAUGAGGAUUGAGGCCGACACUGACACUGAGAGACGAAAACUAGAGGAGCGAAUGAGAUUAGAUACCCCGGUAAUUCUAGUCGUAGACGAUGGAUACUAGACGCUGUGCGUAUCGACCCGUGCAGUGCUGCAGCUAACGCGUUAAGUAUCGCUCCUAGGGAGUACGUUCACAAGAAUAAAAUUCAAAGGAAUUGACAGGGGCUUUUCCCCCGGAGAAGUUAAAGGCAAAGACCAGUUGAUGUAAUUCUGCAAAUUAAUUAUUCUGGCUACAUCUCUUUCUUGGAUAAUAUUUAGAAGUUGAAUUAUAAGCUUCACUACCUCCACAUAUUCCUUAUUCUUUUCCAUUUCCUCGUUGUUUCUGCUUCUAAUUUCUCAAGCAGCCAAGCUCGAGGGUGGUAUUUGUAUAUGGAAUUUUCUGAUUCAAUUCAUGAUAUUCAUCAUCGUUCUGCAAUUUGCAAAUUCAAGAAUUGGUCAAAACCAGUAAGAAAUUCUUGAUAUGAUUCUAUUAGAUUUGUGUACUGUUAUAUGUCUCCAUUAAUUUUAUUUUAAAGUACAUUAUAUUGAAUUAUUUUUGUGAUUUGAUGCGGGCCUACUUAAUUACUUGAAUCAAGGCAAAUAUGAUACGAUUGGGAACCCAUUGGUUUUUGGUAGUUUUUAAUUGGAAUAUUAGAUCCAUAUAAAAAGAGUUAUCUAAUGGGGGGUUUUCGCUUCUUUAAGUGGAUGAAUGCACUGUAAUGGGUUUUUUUUAAUCCUUUAAGUUAUUUAAUAUUUGCUCAGUGCAGGCUUUUUUCUUAUCCUCUAUAACUAUAUAUUUGCAAGUCAUUUUUUAUUGUUGAAUCCUUUCUUUUUGGAGAAGUUUGGGAAUUUUUAAUUCAGACUCAUCAAUCGUGUUCCACUGCUCGUUGCUUAUAAUUAUGUCUACAAGAAAAUUUGAAUCUGGAUAUGCCAAAGAAGAAAAGGAAAGAGAAGGUCAAACUGUUAAUUAAAUCUCAAGCAAGAGCACUUGAUAACUUUUUUAGUAAUAGUAAAUGAACAUAUGACGAAGACGUAGUUAUUGAAGAAGAGUUUAAAGAUAAUGAUAACAGAAAUAAUACAAUUGAAGAACAACAUUGUUUGGUGAAUGAAAGAUAUAUCUACCGACAAAGAUAAUACACCAUUUUCCCUUGACCUUAUUAAUCUAGCAAAUUGAGGAUAUAUGGAUACGAAUUUAAGAGAUUUAAUUGUAAUGAAAGGUCCUGUAAGAGAAAAUGAUGUGAUUUUUCUAAAAGAUGUAGCAAAUCAACACUUCCCAUCUAUACAUUACAUUAGAGAAGCAUGAUAGAAAGUGGUUGAUAUAUUCAAAAAGUUGGGAUAAAGUAUUUUGCUUUUGUUGUAAGCUAUUUAAGAAUGAUGUGAUCAGAACUCAAUUGGCACGCUAUGAUGUAAAGGAUUGGAAAAAUAUUGAUGAAAAACUUAAAACACGUGAGGUAAGUUGUGAACACAUCAAUAAUAUCAGUAGAUGGAUUGAAAUGGAAUUUAGAUUUGAAAAGAGUAAAACAAUUGAUAAAAAUGUGCAGAAACAUACCAAUAGAGAUAGAGAACACUGGAGGCAAGUAUUACUGAAAAUAAUAUAUUUGGUGAGAACUUUUGAUGAUAAUAAUUUAGCAUUUCGUGGAGAUAAUGGAAAGAUAUACCACAAAAAUAAUGGUAUCUUUUUAAACAUAAUUCAAAUAAUUGCUAAGUUUGAUUACGUAAUGUAAGACCGAGUUCGUCGAAUCCAAAAUAAAGAGAUUUAUUAUCUUUAUCUAGGAUACAAAAUUCAGAUUGAGUUGAUACUUAUACUAGCAGGUGAGAUAAAAAAUAAUAAUCAUUAAGAAACUCACAAAAUCUAAGUAUUUUUCCGUUAUACUUGAUAUUUUUCUCCAGAUACGAGUCAUGAAGAGCAAAUGUCUGUAGUAUUAAGGUGUGUAGAUAUUUCAAUUAGUCUAGUAAAGGUUGAAGAAUUCUUUUAAGAUUUUUAUUGGUGGAUGAUACAUCUGAUAAGGGACUUUAUGAUGAACUUCUGGGUGCUUUAAACAAUCUAAAAUUUGAUAUUAAUAAUGUAAAGGGUUAAGACUAUGAUAACGGUAAUAACAUGAAAGGAAAACGUAAAGGAGUUCAAAAUAAAUUCUAGAGCAUUUUACAGUUCUUACGGGUGUCAACAUAUGAAAUUGAGAUUUUUGAAUUCUCACUUGGUAUGAUUAUUAGAUAUGAGGUUAACAAAGUAAGAAAACAUUUGCAAGCAGAAGACCUACAUAUUGAUGUUGCUAUAAACCAUUUAAAAGGGUUUAUUUCAUUUUUCAAAAGUUAUAGAGGAAUCUGGGUUUGAAUAGGCCAUGGUUGAUGCUAAAGAGAUUGCAAGUGAAUUAUGAAUUAGAAAUUGAACAUAUAUUUCGUGAAAAAUGGGUUAGACAUCAAAAGAAGCAGAUUGAUAAAACUUCUUCUGAAGAGAUAACACAAACAACUAAAGAAUCUUUUAAGAUCAGUUAUUUCAUAUAUACAGUAGAUCAAGUUCUAUAAUCACUUCAGAAUAGAUUUGAAAAUAUGAAGAUAUUUUUGCAUUUUUAUUUAAUUUGAAAAGACUUCAAUCUAUUGAUGAUGAUAGGUUGAAGUACUCUUGCAUUAACCUCGGAAAUUAAUUGAAGCAUAAUAUGAUUUCUAGGUAGAAUUAUUUUCUGAGUUGAAAGUUUUAAGGGAAGCGAAACCUGCAAAAACAAUUGGAGCAAUUGAUGUGUUGGAUUACAUUAAGAGAAUGAACUAUUGUUUUGCAAAUGCUUGGAUUGCUUAUAAAGUAUUAUUGACUAUUCCUAUCACAGUUGCCUCCGGUGAAAGAAGUUUUUCAAAGUUGAAGUUGAUUAAAUCUUAUCUUCGAUCAACCAUGUCAUAAAAGAGAUUGAAUGGAUUAGCAUUUCUAUUGAAAAAAAUAUGUUGGAAAAAACUUGAUUUUAGUAGUUUGAUUACUAAGUUUACUUCUCAAAAUGUGAGAAAUUAAAUCUCAUGCUAGCCUAAUCUCUCGGGUUGUGAGAAAAGUUUUAUUUUGCUACACUAUCUUUUAGAUUGUAAAAAGUCUUCUUUUCAAUAUAAAAGUGUCACGUAUUUAAGACUCCAUUUGGCUCACUUUCUUUCAAUUUUUAUUGUAUGAAAUAGUGUUUUUUGAGAAUGUGCAGUUGAAAAGUAGGAAAAGUUUUCAAUUUAUGUGUAAUAUUAUUUUAUGGAAGAUUGUGUGGUUUAAAAUAAGAGUGAGAAUAAAAAAUUGCAAGAAGAAAGGGGCCAAGAGGGGGCUAAAUAUUUAAAUAUUUUUACACUUGUAAAAAAAAUUAUGCUGGAGGGCUUCAUAAUAACUAGUCACCUAGGACCUAUAAAUUCUUAGGGCUAGCCCUAUUCAAAGACCUCAAUUUACAACCUAAGACCAUUUUCCACACAUAUGCAUGCUUAUGAAAAACUUAGGGACGAAUCCAAGGGGGUCUAGACCAAGGCAACCCCAGCCUUAUCCAUUUUGAAACUAUAUUAUUUUAAUUUUAGAGUGCAGCCUAUGUUCAUUAGCACAAGUCGCAGGCAAACCCAAACCCAAAUCCACAUAAUCUAUAUCCUCCAAUUCCCCAAAUCCAUAGUCUAGAUUACUUGAAAUUUUGAAAUCCAAUUGGCAAUUUAGAAUUCACAUUUGGCCAUUACCAUUAUUCUCCCGUCUCCAAUCUCUCUCUCUUUAAAGUUCAAAUUCACUUUGCCCAAAAUUCGAAUUGAGAAUUUGAAGCCUUAAGUUCCUUAUUCAACCCUGUCCCUUUGUUGGCACCGAUGUCCCAAAUCCUUGUCCAAAUUCUUGUUCAUUUAAGCAAAAAAGGGGAAAAGAAGAAGCUCAAAUCUGCUUCGUAAGUAAAUCAACUCCCUCAUCUCACCACUUGAAAGUGCACUUUUCAUAUAAUUGUAUGUAAGAGUCCAAUAUUUAUUUCAAAUUAAAACCUAGUGUUUAUAGUUGAAAAAUGAUUGGUUUUUCAAUUUUCUGGAUAUAGGAAAUGAAUCAUUCUUAUACUAUUCGCAUGCUAAACAUAAUUGUAAAUUAAAUUAAGGAUGGCAAAAAAAGGAAUUCAACCUGAUACCCGUGGGGACCCGCCUCUAAUAGGGCGAGGAUUACUCGUAAACAGGGCAAGGUAUUUGCCCCCAAGUAGGUGCGGGACGGAUACAGAAAACAUAGUCCCCGCCCAGCUAUCCACCCCAUUUGAAGCUAACUUCAAAUUUAAAUUUUUAAUCAAACAAAAAUAAAAGAUUUAUCAUCAUUUUUAAAGAGACAUGGGUUUCUUAACAAAUUGAAAAAAAAUAAUAAUAUUUACUAAUUAAAGAGAAAAAAAGAAAAUAAAUAAAAAACAAAAAAUAAAUAAAUAAACGAGACAAUAAAUAAGGUACGGACCUGCCCCACACCGUAUCGAUCUUACCCUGAACCCACCCCGUCACAUUUUAACCAGGUAUGGGGACGGGACAAGGUGACAAAAAUAACCGACGGGAUGGAGGGAAUAGCCGACCCGUACCGUACUCGCCCAUUGCCAUCCCUAGUGAAUUAGUUUAAUUUCUCAAGUUUUUACGUAAAGAUCCAUCUUUGUCAUUUUUGUUUUUCUUCAGGUCCUUAAUUUUUUGCUUAAUUGGUGAGGAUUCGAAAAAGCUAGGAGAAAAUGGAAUCUCGAUAAUGAUAAGUUGUUAUUUUAGUUUUCCAGAAUUUGUCCAACUAUUGGAAGGAAGAUAAAAACUGUUCAUUUCAUUUCAUGAAUCAAUCUCACACUUGCACCAUAUUUCACUCAUUGAUUUGUUGGUAAACUCACCCUUGAUUUACUCUAAUUUUCAGAUGACAAUACCUAGAGGUUAUGUGAGUAUUUUGAUUGUAGCUCAGCUUGUGAGUUUCACUGGACCAUUUCAAUAGACCUAUGGCCCUAAAACGCUAAAGAUGAGGAUCUCUUUAUGGGCAAAUUCAUCUUUGCUGUAACUGUCUGCUAUGCUACCUGUUCUUUUGAGAUAUAUUGAUGGAACUCCGAAUUAUUCAAGUAUGCAAGAAGCAACAAUAGUACAGAAAGUAGGGAUAAGUACUAGAAUUAACAUAUUGCCACUUUGUAUAUCACAUUAGAACAUGUAAAAGUAAAAAACUAUCACCCUAUUAAAGAGUAAUUCUU
rnacentral:lncRNA from 1 species